rnacentral:rRNA from 1 species
CGAAGGGGGCUAGCGUUGUUCGGAAUUACUGGGCGUAAAGCGCGUGUAGGCGGUUGCCCAAGUCGGGUGUGAAAGCCUUGAGCUCAACUCAAGAAAUGCACUCGGUACUGGGUGACUAGAGGACCGGAGAGGAUAGUGGAAUUCCCAGUGUAGUGGUGAAAUACGUAGAGAUUGGGAAGAACACCAGUGGCGAAGGCGGCUAUCUGGACGGUUUCUGACGCUAAGACGCGAAAGCGUGGGGAGCAAACAGGAUUAGAUACCCUGGUAGCCCACGCCGUAAACGAUGGGUGCUAGACGUUGGCGAGCUUGCUCGUCAGUGUCGCAGCUAACGCGUUAAGCACCCCGCCUGGGGAGUACGGCCGCAAGGUUG